rnacentral:rRNA from 1 species
GUCCACGCCGUAAACGGUGGGAACUAGGUGUUGGCGACAUUCCACGUCGUCGGUGCCGCAGCUAACGCAUUAAGUUCCCCGCCUGGGGAGUACGGCCGCAAGGCUAAAACUCAAAGGAAUUGACGGGGGCCCGCACAAGCAGCGGAGCAUGUGGCUUAAUUCGACGCAACGCGAAGAACCUUACCAAGGCUUGACAUACACCGGAAAGCAUUAGAGAUAGUGCCCCCCUUGUGGUCGGUGUACAGGUGGUGCAUGGCUGUCGU